ACAAGCGGUGGAUGAUGUGGUUAAUUCGAUGCAACGCGAAAACCUUACCACCUUUGACAUGUCCGGAAUCCUGCAGAGAUGCGGGAGUGCCCGAAAGGGAAUCGGAACACAGGUGCUGCAUGGCUGUCGUCGGCUCGUGUCGUGAGAUGUUGGGUUAAGUCCCGCAACGAGCGCAACCCUUAUCAUUAGUUGCUACGCAAGGGCACUCUAAUGAGACUGCCGGUGACAAACCGGAGGAAGGUGGGGAUGACGUCAAGUCCUCAUGGCCCUUAUGGGUAGGGCUUCACACGUCAUACAAUGGUCGGUACAGAGGGUUGCCAAGCCGCGAGGUGGAGCCAAUCCCAGAAAGCCGAUCGUAGUCCGGAUUGUUCUCUGCAACUCGAGAGCAUGAAGUCGGAAUCGCUAGUAAUCGCGGAUCAGCAUGUCGCGGUGAAUACGUUCCCGGGUCUU
rnacentral:rRNA from 1 species